rnacentral:rRNA from 1 species
UACGGAGAGGGCGAGCGUUGUCCGAAGUUACUGGGCGUAAAGCGCGCGUAGGCGGGUUGGCAAGUCCGCUGUGAAAGCCCGGUGCUUAACGCCGGAGGGUCGGUGGAUACUGCCAGUCUUGAAGGUGCUAGGGGAAGAUGGAAUUACCGGUGUAGCGGUGAAAUGCGUAGAUAUCGGUAGGAACACCAGUGGCGAAGGCGGUCUUCUGGAGCACUCUUGACGCUGAGGCGCGAAAGCUGGGGGGAGCGAACGGG